AUUAAAAAUAAAGGUGUCGUUUUUGACACCUGACACAAAAAAUCAGUGAGACAUGACACAAAAGCUAAAGAUAUUUGUCUAACGUGCAUAAAAAACAUCCAACAUGCCAAUGUUUUUAAAUAAUCGGCUGAGAUAUUGCUGCACAAAAUGUUGGCGCAUCCUUACCUUUGAAGUAAUGGUUAAAGUCACUGAGAUGUGGUCGAAUUUGUACUGUGUUACUUUAUUUCUCUGUUCACUAUGUUGUGCACUGUUAUUUUCCUUUGCUUAUGCCUCAGGGAAUGGGAGAACCUGAAUCAGUCCAAUGUCAGACGCAUGCACCACGCGCAGAAACUCAAUGGGGUCAUUGUGAAGAAGUCACAAGAAGCUAAACUAGUCCUGCUAAACAUGCCGGGACCACCUAAGAACCGCACUGGAGAAGAGACCUACAUGGAGUUCCUCGAGGUCUUGAC